rnacentral:sRNA from 1 species
CCAACCAACCAAUCAACCAACCAACCAACCAACCAAUCAACCAACCAACCAACCAGCAGAAGUGUGGAGAUAUGGGGAAAAUGGAACUCAGAAGAGGAACUAAAGUAGGCCUGUCUGAGAGAAAGUCAUUUGCGCAGGCAGGAAUGAUUCAUUUCACGAUGUGUUUAAACGAGUGUCUCCAGUUCAUCUCAAUGUGAAGUUGGUUGCAUUUCCUUUCCUGCCUUCGUCAGAAGCCCACUGAAUCACUCCAGUAACAUGCUUUCUCUUGGAGACAGAAUCAAGUUUUCCACUCCGGUGUUUAGAUGACCAGCCAGAUUCUGCCAUACAACCUGCCACCAUGUUCUGCUUCACAACAGGUCCCAAAGCGAGAGGGCUAAGUG